rnacentral:rRNA from 1 species
UCAGGUAACAUCAAAUCGUACCCCAAACCGACACAGGUGGUCAGGUAGAGAAUACCAAGGCGCUUGAGAGAACUCGGGUGAAGGAACUAGGCAAAAUGGUGCCGUAACUUCGGGAGAAGGCACGCUGAUAUGUAGGUGAAGCGACUUGCUCGUGGAGCUGAAAUCAGUCGAAGAUACCAGCUGGCUGCAACUGUUUAUUAAAAACACAGCACUGUGCAAACACGAAAGUGGACGUAUACGGUGUGACGCCUGCCCGGUGCCGGAAGGUUAAUUGAUGGGGUUAGCGGUAACGCGAAGCUCUUGAUCGAAGCCCCGGUAAACGGCGGCCGUAACUAUAACGGUCCUAAGGUAGCGAAAUUCCUUGUCGGGUAAGUUCCGACCUGCACGAAUGGCGUAAUGAUGGCCAGGCUGUCUCCACCCGAGACUCAGUGAAAUUGAACUCGCUGUGAAGAUGCAGUGUACCCGCGGCAAGACGGAAAGACCCCGUGAACCUUUACUAUAGCUUGACACUGAACAUUGAGCCUUGAUGUGUAGGAUAGGUGGGAGGCUUUGAAGUGUGGACGCCAGUCUGCAUGGAGCCGACCUUGAAAUACCACCCUUUAAUGUUUGAUGUUCUAACGUUGGCCCGUAAUCCGGGUUGCGGACAGUGUCUGGUGGGUAGUUUGACUGGGGCGGUCUCCUCCUAAAGAGUAACGGAGGAGCACGAAGGUUGGCUAAUCCUGGUCGGACAUCAGGAGGUUAGUGCAAUGGCAUAAGCCAGCUUGACUGCGAGCGUGACGGCGCGAGCAGGUGCGAAAGCAGGUCAUAGUGAUCCGGUGGUUCUGAAUGGAAGGGCCAUCGCUCAACGGAUAAAAGGUACUCCGGGGAUAACAGGCUGAUACCGCCCAAGAGUUCAUAUCGACGGCGGUGUUUGGCACCUCGAUGUCGGCUCAUCACAUCCUGGGGCUGAAGUAGGUCCCAAGGGUAUGGCUGUUCGCCAUUUAAAGUGGUACGCGAGCUGGGUUUAGAACGUCGUGAGACAGUUCGGUCCCUAUCUGCCGUGGGCGCUGGAGAACUGAGGGGGGCUGCUCCUAGUACGAGAGGACCGGAGUGGACGCAUCACUGGUGUUCGGGUUGUCAUGCCAAUGGCACUGCCCGGUAGCUAAAUGCGGAAGAGAUAAGUGCUGAAAGCAUCUAAGCACGAAACUUGCCCCGAGAUGAGUUCUCCCUGACUCCUUGAGAGUCCUGAAGGAACGUUGAAGACGACGACGUUGAUAGGCCGGGUGUGUAAGCGCAGCGAUGCGUUGAGCUAACCGGUACUAAUGAACCGUGAGGCUUAACCUU